UACGUAGGGGGCAAGCGUUGUCCGGAUUUAUUGGGCGUAAAGCGCUCGCAGGCGGCUCGAUGCGUCGUGCGUGAAACACCCCGGCUCAACCGGGAGAGGUUGUCCGAUACUUCCAGACUUGAGGGCAGUAGAGGGUGGUGGAAUUCCGGGUGUAGUGGUGAAAUGCGUAGAUAUCCGGAGGAACACCAGUGGCGAAAGCGGCCACCUGGACUGCACCUGACGCUGACACGCGAAAGCUAGGGGAGCGAACGGG
rnacentral:rRNA from 1 species